rnacentral:lncRNA from 1 species
UUAAUGGUGUGUGCUACCAUGUCUGAAUUACACAUGAUAAGACCUUUCUUUUUUUUUUUUUUUUUUAAUUUAUUUAUUUAUUUAUUUAUUUAUUUAUUUAUUAUAUGUAAGUACACUGUAGCUAUCUUCAGAUGCACCAGAAGAGGUCAUCAGAUCUCAUUACGGGUGGUUGUGAGCCACCAUGUGGUUGCUGGGAUUUGAACUUCGGACCUUUGGAAGAGCAGUCGGGUGCUCUUACCCACUGAGCCAUCUCACCAGCCCGAUAAGACCUUUCUUGUUGUCCCACUGUGCUUUUAACUUUAGGAAAUUUGCCUUCAGGGUCUUUCUUAAUCACAUGUUUUAUGUGGAAAUGUAAUUUACUACAUAGUGAUGUGUGUCUUCUAUAGCAUGUUUCCAGAGUCUUUGAUUUUAAGCCUUUUUAAAGUUUCUAAUUUUAUGAACAAUACAUAAUGAAGGCCAUCUUAAAUCUAUUUUUGUCGUUGGUGAGAUGUACAUCCAAAGAGAUGCAGGUACAUAACUGAAUCAAAGUAAAAGAUGCUGCCUUGUUUAUUACAUUGAAUCACCAGAGGGCAGUGUUGACCAAUUACUGUGAAAGAAGGGUAAUUGAGUCUUUGCUUUCUGUUUUUACUUUUAAAAGUCUCUGUACGGAUGGGGCAUUGUGAUACAAGGCUAUAAUCACAGCACUUCAGAAAUGGAGAAUUAUUCAAGGUCAUCCUUAUCCUGAGGCCAGCCUAUAUUAUUAGAGACCCUAGCCCAUCAAGAAAGAAAAAAGAAAGAAAGAAAGAAAGAAAGAAAGAAAGAAAGAAAGAAGAUAACAAAGUUUUCUGCUAGCAGUAUGACAUGUACUUAAUUUAACUUGUUAGCUUGCUGCUUCUGAGGCAUUAUGGAUAUGUCAGACUUUACAUCCUUAGCCUUGGGCUCUUCAUGACAUUAUAGAUGUACAUGUAUGCUACAUGGCACUAUAGAUGAGCUACAGCCUAUGUUGGAGCCAGUUAAGUAGGAGACUGAUUUUGACUAAGACUUUUUUGAAACCCAAACUGUCUUUAUAUUUGUUCCUAUCUGUCAAAGAUCCUUAUUAUCUCUAUGAAGAGACUUUUGGAAAUAGUGUUGUCAUCUUUGGUUUUAUGCAUUUGCCUAUUCAGGAAGAAAGUAUUAAUGCUGCACAGAAUUGAAGCCAUGUCAAUUGCUUCCUGAGUUCACAAUAGCAUAGAUGUAUUGCUUCUCUUUCUGAUGUGAGAGAAUGUGUUUGGAUAUAAAAUAUACAUGUAUUCAGAGACAGAAAGUACAGUGGCCUUACUAGUUUGUUAUACAGAUUAUUUAGUUUGGUCCGUUGGUUUAGACUAGAAAAAGCUAACAGCUAUGCUAUCAAUGUUAAUGUUGGUAAUUUCUCAGAGCCUAGAUCUGUAUGAUGAAGUACAUAUGAAUUAAUGACUUAUUUGUACUCAUCAAAAAUGUCUGAUGAGAAAAUGAAAUAUGGCAAUUAGACAAAGUGUUGGAUUAGUACUGCUUUUCCAGGUUUUGCCUCUCAAGCCACAGAACUAAGCUAAGAUAGUCAGGGUUACAUAGAGAAACCUUGUCUCAAAAAGUAACAAUAAAAAUGUGUUGUGCCAUAUUAUUACAGUAUUCAGCAUGCCCUAUGAUAUAUAGAAAUGCACACGAAGAUACCAGAGGACCUUCAAUGCAUGGGCAGUCUUUACUACAUUCAAAGGAAAUGCCACAUUAAGGUCUGUUGACCAGAGGUAUACAGGCGAGAGGAGUGAAUAGUGUAGUCAUGGGAGAGUCGUAGGCCGGUUUCUCAGUUUGCAGGGCUGAAGCAGGUAGAUAGUAUGUGAGUAUGGAAUAGUGUUUAAACCGUUUGCAGGGUGGGGAGAUUUGGAAUGAAUCAAGGACACAAUAUAGUUUUUCCUAUUUUCAAUUAUGUCACAUAGGUUCUGCUACCUGAAAUUUUACAUUCUAUUACGUGUAGGAAUAGACCAGAUUCUAAUAAUGACUGUCCCUGUCCUUUGUGUUUUCAAAUGUUACACGAACCACUCUUGCUGUAUGUAUCUUAAUACAGUUUGCUGUGUUUUUCUCAUUAUGAGUCCCAUGUUGGGGGUGAUUUUCUCAGUCACUUGUUUGCAGUUUUACAGCAUUCCAGCGUAUUCGGGCAGCCUUUUGUUCCUUCUGUUAGUGGAUGUUUAGGUUAUUACUGUUUUGAGCUGUCACUAGAACCACAGAGCGACCUGUGUAUGUGUGUCUCUGCUCUGUGUUUGUAAGGUUAGCUUGGAUACCUUUCAGUGAGGUUGGCAGACAUCUUUACAGGCUUCUACAUUCUUGCCCCAGCCAAGCAUACUAGCAGGUGCCAGUGAGCCCAAGACUUGGCAAGCUAAGGCACGAUGAUUGCUGAAGGUUUGAGGCCAGCCUGGUCAACCUAGUGAGGUCAAGGCCAGCCGGGGCCAUGGAGUGAAGCUAAACAAAACAACUUUAAAUUCCCUAGGGCUUCAAUAUACUCUCCCACUACUGUUACUGUACUUAAUAAAAAAAAAUCGACAGUCUACUAUAAAUUUAUAAAGAAAAUUUAACAUUUAUGUUUUUAAAUUUAUGAAAGUGUCUAGCC